AACACUAAAUAAAAUUUUAAGUAGAAAAUUUUAGAAAAUUUCGUUUUGUUUUAAUAUUUUUUUUACUAGUUUAUUUUUUCACUGAUAAAUAUCAAUUUUUAGACCACCUUGUAUGUACGCAUGUGGUGCAUGCGACACGCUAUACGUUGCAGCUGAAUUUGCAACGACGGCGUCUCUAAUCCUCUUUGGCGAAUGAUUAAAACUAAUCCGAGCGACGUUUAAAAAUAAUAAGCAACACAACAUUGUUCCAUUAACUGCUAUUUUACUAUCUUUGUUACAUGUGUUGUAAAGGAUUGAAAUACAUUACGUGAAUUAUGAUUAUCUUGUGUAAACAACUUUUUAGUAGGAUUUUGUAUUGAUAUAAAAAUAUUUAUAGCUUCUGUUUAUAAUAUAUGUUAAAUAAUAUUUAUUGUUUUAUAUUGUUUCAUAUUAUUAGGCCACGGAAAUCUUUUUUAACAUAUGCAUAGUUUUGCAUUCUUAUACUAUUGCAUUACAUGCAUCUUGAUACUCGAGCGAUUUCCAGCUAGGCUGUGAAUGAUGAAUAGGACAUUCGAUAAAGCGAGACCCCCACGUUUGCUAAACAGAGAGACUCCGAGAAAUCAAAGAUUCAAUUGUACUCUCCUUUGCUCUCUCAUCUUUGUAAUAGUGUGAAGUCCGAGUUUAUUUUACUUUUAUGUAUCGUAAGAAAAUGUAAGAAUAUCUUGGAAGAAAAUGCAGAAGCUGCGUUUAAUCUUUAUAAUGUUAUUUAUAUCACGCAUACUUAAAGAUGAUAAAUAUAAUCCAUUUAUAUUAUAAAACUAAUAUACAAAACAUCGAAAUAAGUGAUUAAGAAAUGAUACGGUAGCCGUGACAUAGCUUAUAUUUGGAUGAUAACAUGAUAGCAUUAAGUCUAAUAUCUUUGAGCAGCGCACUGAGGGUGAAAGAGAAAAAGAAAGACUAAGGGAGAAAAGGGGAAUACAGUGGGCGACUUUAAUGACUUCUCGAGGCUGUUUCAAUAGAGUACGACUGUUUGCCGUUGCAUCAUCACUAUAUACUGAGUGUCCUACUGCCAAUCGACUAUUCUAAUCGCUUGCUGACACGUUUCUUAAUUAUUUCAUAAAUAACUUUUCUUUGACGGAAAUGCAAGGAGAAAUUUAACUCUUGGGUUUUUAAUCUUCAAUAAUUAUUUUUAUAAUUUUUGUAACACUUACAUUCGUUAUUAUUUAUUUUUAUGUUAACAUUUAUUGUAUAGCUGAUAUUAGGUAUAUUAUUACAAUAAUUAGUUUUUAUAAUUUUUGUAACACAUUCGUUAUAAUUUAUUUUUAUAAUUUAGUAUAUAGCUGAUAUUAGGUUUUUGUUACUUUUUUUAUCAUCCUUUUAAGUAUAGGCAGUAAACAAAAAUGUAGGAAAUUUUAAUUAAUCCUAAUAAGUCUAUAUAUUGUUGGUAAUAUUCGGUAGGAUUAGAUAAUUGGUGCUGAAACUCAAGAAUUUACGGACGUUGCGUGACACACGCUCUUCUUUCAUUAUUAUUUCAUGAAGUAAACCUAUACAGCCACUACCAUUAUCACAUAAAUGGUUAAUGAUAGAGAGAUGCGGUAAUGACGCUAAAUACAUCUGUACAAUGUACGGUACCCGAAAGGAUUUUAAAAGAUUUUUGAGAGAGAAGACAAUUCAAGAUCCAUUCUAUUAUAGAUUUAAAAAAUUAAUUUUUUAUCUUCCAUUUUACAUUUUAUGUUUGCCUGUUAUAUCUUGCAUAUUUUUAUAUUAUUUUAUUUGCAGAAGGCGCGUGAGGAUUCUUCAGCGGAUUCGGUAGGGGAAGCAAACACUAAGUUUUGUUCUCUUUUUAAUCAAACUUGAGAUUAUAACAAAGAUGUGUUGAAGAAUACUCACUCUCUGAGAGGCCUCGGUGGGAAAGAAAAAACUUAAGUCCUGUCCUGUUCCUAAGUACUAGUGCCGCAGGAGUGAUUAGGCUGGGCAAGACGUUACCAUAUCUCCUGCUGCUCAAGUGCUUAUCAACGGGUCGGGACGCAUGUCAACUUUCGAUCGUGAGCUAAGGUGUAAGGGAAUAAUGUUAGGCUGUAUUUAUUUUGUUUCAUAUAUAUUAUUUUGUAGAGUGUCAUAAAAUGGCGUGAGAGAGAAAGAGAGAGAGAGAGAGAGAAAGUGCGAAAAUGAAACAAAAAAUGUAGUUUCUAAUGAAUGUAAGCGCGAACAGAAAUCGCUAUAUAACAUAUGGAACUACUA